rnacentral:ncRNA from 1 species
GAUCCUGGCCUUUCUAUCAACUGUUUUCCGAUUUACACAUGCGAGUAUCCGCACAACCGUGAGAAUGCCCUCUAACCUCCACCAGACUGAGGAGCCGGUAUCAGGCACAGAUCUCUUGCCCACAACACCUAGUCUUACCACGCCCCCAAGGGUAAUUCAGCAGUGAUAAAUAUUGUGCAUAAGCGACAGCUUGACUCAAUCAGGAAAGACAGAGCUGGCCAAUACGGUGCCAGCCGCCGCGGCUAUACCGCUAAGCUCAAGUUGAUAGUUUUCGGCGUUAAGCGUGGUUAAAGAUUUUUUUACUAGAGUUAAAUAGAAACUUAGCUGUUAUAAGCUUGUUAACAAGAAACCUAAAAACGAAAGUUACUCUAUUAUUCCUUGAACCCACGACAAUUAGGAUACAAACUGGGAUUAGAUACCCCACUAUGCCUAAUCGUAAAAAAUUAACUUACAUUACUCGCGCCGGGGUAUUACAAGCUAAGCUUCAAACCCAAAGGAUUUGACGGUGUCCCACCCACCUAGAGGAGCCUGUCCUAUAACCGAUGACCCGCGUUUUACCUUACCGCUUCUCGCUCUCAGCCUGUAUACCUCCGUCGUAAGCUUACCAUGUGAAUGUAAUAGUACGCUUAAUGAUUUUCCAUCAAUACGUCAGGUCAAGGUGCAGCUUAUGAAGCGGACAGAGAUGGGCUACAAUUUCUAUGUUAGAACAAACGAAACAGCAAGAUGAAACCUGCUGUGAAGGUGGAUUUAGUAGUAAAAAGAAAAUAGUAUGUUCUUUUUAAUCUGGCCCUGGGACGUGUACACACCGCCCGUCACCCUCUUCGAUAGCUUUGUUUAACGUUUAUAACUAACUUUUCGCGCCUUAGAAGAGGCAAGUCGUAACAUGGUAAGUGUACUGGAAAGUGCACUUGGAUAAACAAAAUGUAGCUUAAUAUAAAGCAAUUCGCUUACACCGAAAAAAUGUCCAUUAACUUGGGCCAUUUUGAGCCUAAAAUCUAGCCCAAACUACCACAUGCAACCCCCCCCCCAUCUCACAUAAAACAAAACAUUUUACCAUUUUAGUAAGAGUGACUAAAAAACUUAUAUGGAGCAAAAGAGCCAGUACCGCAAGGGAACGAUGAAAUAGAAUUGAAAUAAUCUUCAAGCAACAAAAAGCAGAGCCCCCCCCUCGUACCUUUUGCAUCAUGAUCUAGCUAGUUAGCCUUAGCAAAACAAACUUUUAGUUAAACCCCCCGAAACUGAGUGAGCUACUUCGAAAUAGCUUCCAAGAGCCAACCCGUCUCUGUCGCAAAAGAGUGGGAAAAUUUUUAAGUAGCGGUGAUAAGCCUACCGAACUCAGAGAUAGCUGGUUAUUCAGGAAAAGAAUUUUAGUUCUACCUUAAAGCGACCCAUUACACAAAACAAUAAUUUAAGCCUUAAGAUUUAUUUAAACAAGGCACAGCUUGUUUAAAACAGGACACAACCUAGAAAACAGGGUAAAACUUUACUUACGAACCAAGUGGGCCUAAAAGCAGCCAUCUUUUAAAAAGCGUUAAAGCUUAAUUUUAUUUUAUUUAUUAAUCCCAAAAAUAAACUUCAACCCUUUCUCACUACUGAAUGACUUUAUAAUCAUAUAAAACCGAUUCUGCUAGAACUAGUAACAAGAAAUUGACUUUCUCCUAAAUAUAAGCUUACCCCAAUAUUGACCGACUACUGGUACUUAACGUAAAUGAUUUUACUGUAAUAACUAACCACAGCAAAUUUUACAACUUCCAACGUUACCCUAACACAAGAAUAUUUUAGGAAAGAUUAAAAGAGAGAGAAGGAACUCGGCAAAACAUUAACCCCGCCUGUUUACCAAAAACAUCGCCUCCUGCAUACUAUAGGAGGUCCAGCCUGCCCAGUGACCCUGUUUAACGGCCUCGGUAUUCUGACCGCGCGAAGGUAGCAUAAUCACUUGUUCUUUAAAUAAGGACUAGUAUCAACGGCAUCACGAGGGUUACCCUGUCUCCUCUCUCUAAUCAGUGAAUCUGACCUCUCCGUGAAGAGGCGGAGAUAUAAUUAUAAGACGAGAAGACCCCAUGGAGCUUAAAACAUAGAAACACUUUCUUCACUACAAACCCUAAAAGAUAAGAAAAUAUGUUAGCUAGUUUUCGGCUGGGGUGCCCAAGGAGAAUAACUCAACCUCCCUGACGACCACUAUCCAAGAGCAACAACUCGAAGAAACAACAAAUUGACGUAAAAUGACCCGAUUUUAUAAUCGAUCAACGAACCAAGUUACCCUGGGGAUAACAGCGCAAUCCAUUUCAAGAGCCCCUAUCGACAAAUGGGUUUACGACCUCGAUGUUGGAUCAGGGUAUCCUGGUGGUGCAGCAGCUACUAAAGGUU